rnacentral:lncRNA from 1 species
CAGGUGAUUUCCCCUCACCGGGCAGGGCGUCCCGGUGAGGGGAAACCAUUGCCGAUCACAGCUGACCACCCGUCGUGCACUUACUCACGGUGGCACCUCUCCCGGCAGAGUCCCAUCCCAUUCGAGAGACGUGCCGUGCGCAAAAAUAAAAACACCACUCGUGUUAGACCUACCAUUAUAUACGAUUAGUCUUCAAUGUUUAAUUCUGAUCGAUUUAUACGACAACAACAACAAAAACACGUGAAUUCAACUACGAACCAAAUGAAUUUUGAUCCCUUCUUUUUUAAUUUAUGCGACUAAAAAAUGCGUACGUGCGUAGGGCAGAGACGUGCCGUCAACACAAUUCGAUCUUUGGACGGGCAACAGUCACCUGGCGACAGCCAUGUAACCAUCGGUCGGUAGUGCCGUGCGCAUUAAACGCAUUCGAUGCCGAACGGAGAGCGGUCGGCUGGCGAGACGCUUGUACGUGAUAUCCACCUUUUCUCCCCUAAUCGACAUUUACACUGCAAACAUUGUGCAAUGAAAAACUGAAUGACAUGACUUUCCCUGCAGCUAUAAACUUUGACCGCAGAAAAGCAAUGGGUGGAAGUGAAUCGGAUAAAUCCGUAUAGCAACAAUUAUCGGUAGGAAACGUAACAUGUAAUUUGUUGUUUUCGAUUUUUAGACGUCACACGGCUCAUUAUUGACGCAGUGCAUUUAAUCCAGAACGGAUCAGAGAUUCUUGUUAAAGACGGAAUGCAUAUGGAUAUAUUACUUUACAAUCAGUGUAUGUGUUGCGUAUUUAUAAUCUGUUGUCCGAAUGAUCCACGUUCUAAUAGAUUUAUAUGUUUAUGAUUCCACCACCUGCCACUCCUGUAUGGCUUAAUUCCGUGUUAGUAGAUGCAUUAAUAUAUUGGAAAAGCCAACACGAUCUAAACGCGGGGAAUGUCUAAGAUGAUCAAAGUGGAAUCAAGGUUAUAUCUUAUAGCGUUGCACCAUUUGCAAUGUCUGUCGGUUUACUAAUCAAUCUCGAGAUAGCGUGAGCCGUGCUCACCUGCCAUCUUUGUCCCGAAAUCAAAACCGCUAGUCCAACUUGGACAGUUCAAGAUUAAGGACUUUUUAAAAGAGAUAGGCUGGCAUUUGUUUACGUAACGUCUCACGCGUAUACGCGUAGAACGGGAUUCCAUGACACGAGCGUACGAGAUCAAGUAAGAUGUUGUAUUCAACAAAACAGAUCCCAACGAUCCUGUGUGCGAAUUCACGCGCGUUAAAAAUGCUUCAUCACUCAGAAACUUUGCACAUAAUUUUUUCAGCUGUUUAUUUGCUUCCAGAACACGAUUACGUAAUCAAAUAAAAUGUGGGUGUAAGUCGUUGCAUGUAAUAUGGAUCCUUAAUAAUCAAUCGUUUCGUGUUAUUCACUCCGUUUUAAUGUCAAGUCAGCCCCAAUGAAAAUUUCAGUCAGUAAUUAUACGCGCUUACAAUAAAUUUGGAAUAAUCAUGAACUCUGAUCAUGCAGAGCAGCUAUGUCUAAACAAAUCCCAUCCACUUGAUGAACGUUAUCGCAUCAAAUAAG